rnacentral:rRNA from 1 species
AUUGAACGCUGGCGGAAUGCUUUACACAUGCAAGUCGAACGGUAGAGGGGGCAACCCCUUGAGAGUGGCGAACGGGUGAGUAAUAUAUCGGAACGUGCCCAGUCGUGGGGAUAACGUAGCGAAAGUUACGCUAAUACCGCAUACGAUCUAAGGAUGAAAGCGGGGGACUCGCAAGAGCCUCGCGCGAUUGGAGCGGCCGAUAUCAGAUUAGGUAGUUGGUGGGGUAAAGGCUCACCAAGCCAACGAUCUGUAGCUGGUCUGAGAGGACGACCAGCCACACUGGAACUGAGACACGGUCCAGACUCCUACGGGAGGCAGCAGUGGGGAAUUUUGGACAAUGGACGCAAGUCUGAUCCAGCCAUUCCGCGUGCAGGAUGAAGGCCC